rnacentral:lncRNA from 1 species
GAGAAAAGUAAUUUUUACUGGUUUUUUCUGUAUUUGUAUUAGGUACAAAUCAGGUUUUAUUAGAGGUUGGUGGGCCUUUUUUUUUUCUUGCUUGCAUUUAAAUGUAUGUAUUUUCUGAUUUUCCUUUUUCUUUCAGCAUGAUUUUUCCAAUAUGGAUAGGAUUUUUUUUCUGCAGAAUAGCAUCUUGGUAAGCCAGAAUUUACACAGUUCUCACAUUAGGCCACCUGAUAUGAAGGAACUUCAUUUAUUUAUUUUUUUUUUUUUAUUUAAAAAAGUUGUCUCUCUGUCCAGUUGUCCAGCCUGCUAGCUCCACUGUCCCCUGAGAAUUUCCUUUGUGCUAAGGAUUGGCAUUUCUAAGGAUUCUAUUCUUCACACGUGGAAGAAAGCCUUCAAACACCAUUCAGUCACAACAUGCUGUGGAGGCUCCAGACCCAAGGGCAGUGAUGGCGUGGAAGAAAGUCUCCAAGGUGUAAAGUGAAAGUAUAAAAGAAAAGGCUUUCCCUCCAUGUGAAAACAUAAGGGAAAGGCCUUCCCCCAUCGGUCUUUGCACAGCCAUUUAAGGUGCCCCAGGUCGAUAUACGCCGUUGGCCUGUUGACCGUCCCUCCCCUUUUUACCUUCUAUGUCCUUCCCCUAGAAUGUUCUCCCUUCCCUGUUUUCCUAUUGGCCUCAGUUUGGUGCAAUCCUCCGCCCCUGUUAUCCAUUGGGUCCUUCCUCUCCCUAGCCCCUCCUAUGCACCACUUUAACUUAUCCCUAUUGGACCCUGACCUUCUGAUCCGCCCCCAGGGACCCAUAUAUAACCCUGGACCUGCUUUUGGUCCCUGGUAUCUCCUGGAGUGAAGGAAAAUGAAACGUCCUCUGGAUGACCAUACUAAAAGCCCCUCUCGUUCUUUGCUGCUGCAAGCUAAGUGUGUGUGCAGUGCCUGCUGCUUGGCUGAGCAGUUCCUCUCUGGAGAUGAAUUCCAGAAGGUACUGUCACCAUGCCAUCCGCACACAAUGCUACAGUAUGCCUCCCCCAGUGACAAAACUGACAGAUUGUACUGCCACGGUAGCUGCACUGCCAAUGGCUGCAGGAAG